GGUGAUAAUGGUUUAUCUUGAUGUUAUUGUUAUUAUUUGUCAUGUUCUCAUAUGAAGAGCCUGCUGGAAACUUUGACAUGCAAAUGAAGCAGAAGCUUCAAAAAAUUGCUGAAAUAAUCAACGACAACCAGUUCAGAUAUGACAAGUCACCAACUACGAUCGAAAAGGCACAAAAAGAUGGAAUACCUGACCUGCAAGUGAAGGUUUAAAGUGAUUAUUUUAUAUCAGUGAAAGGUAAUAAUGUAAUAUGUUGUUUAGGCAUACAUUUUACACACAUAUUUAUGAGUACAUUAUUUUUAUUUCUUAUAU